rnacentral:tRNA from 1 species
AAGACACUAGUUAAAUUAUACCGCUGCCUUGUCAAGGCAGCCUUGUGGGUUAAAAUCCCACGUGUCUUG